rnacentral:rRNA from 1 species
CCUACGGGAGGCAGCAGUCGGGAAUAUUGCGCAAUGGAGGAAACUCUGACGCAGUGACGCCGCGUAUAGGAUGAAGGUCCUCGGAUUGUAAACUAUUGUCGUUAGGGAAGAGAAAGGACAGUACCUAAGGAGGAAGCUCCGGCUAACUACGUGCCAGCAGCCGCGGUAAU